AGAGUUUGAUCAUGGCUCAGAACGAACGCUGGCGGCGUGGAUAAGACAUGCAAGUCGAACGGGAUUUCAUUUGUAGCAAUACACGUGAAGUUCAGUGGCGUAAGGGUGCGUAACACGUGGGCAAUCUGCCGAGAAGUGGGGGAUAGCUCGCCGAAAGGCGAAUUAAUACCGCAUGUGGUUAGUGCUGGAUUCAGCGCGACACCAAAGCCGGGGCAACCUGGCGCUUCUUGAUGAGCCCGCGGCCUAUCAGCUAGUUGGUGAGGUAACGGCUCACCAAGGCUAUGACGGGUAGCUGGUCUGAGAGGACGACCAGCCACACUGGAACUGAGACACGGUCCAGACACCUACGGGUGGCAGCAGUCGAGAAUUUUUCUCAAUGGGGGAAACCCUGAAGGAGCGACGCCGCGUGGAGGAUGAAGGUCUUCGGAUUGUAAACUCCUGUCAUUUGGGAACAAUUGUUGGCGAUUAACUGUCGUCAGCUUGAUAGUACCAGAAGAGGAAGAGACGGCUAACUCUGUGCCAGCAGCCGCGGUAAUACAGAGGUCUCAAGCGUUGUUCGGAUUCAUUGGGCGUAAAGGGUGCGUAGGUGGCGAGGUUAGUCAGGUGUGAAAUCUCGGGGCUCAACCCCGAAACUGCACUUGAUACUGCCUUGCUAGAGUACUGGAGAGGAGAUUGGAAUUUACGGUGUAGCAGUGAAAUGCGUAGAUAUCGUAAGGAAGACCAGUGGCGAAGGCGAAUCUCUGGACAGUUACUGACACUGAGGCACGAAGGCCAGGGGAGCAAACGGGAUUAGAUACCCUAGUAGUCC
rnacentral:rRNA from 1 species